rnacentral:lncRNA from 1 species
CUGGCUUACUUACCAAGAAAAUGAAUUCAGGAAAUUUGAUUCUAGUAGAGAACUAGAACAAGCAAAUAGGAUGAGCAACCACUUAUUGGAAUAGUGUAUUUAAAUUUGAGGUACAGUGAUUUUUUUUUUUCUCCCAAGGGUUAAGAAUAUGAUCAAAAGCCUGGAGCUGAAAGAAGGACAAUAUGUAUGCAAGACAGUGAGGACACUUAGCUGACCAGAGAGGGUGAACAGCUGCGCAGAUACUCAGAAUGAUAUCUGAGGUCCACUGAGCUAAGAAAAUACCAUAAUUACUCAGGUAUAACAUAAUGAAAACCUGGCAAAGGAGAAGAAAGAAUAAGAGAAGGAAGGGAGAUGAUAGAAGAACGACAGCCCAUGGCAACAGAUUGAAUAUAGAAGGACCAGAAGCCAGAAAUGCAAUUUGCCAAGCAUAUGAAGAACAUGUUCUUACUAGUUUUUGAUAACUUAAAAUACUUCUUCAUCUAAAACCAGGCUGAUCUUGAGAAAAAUUUUAAAGGAGAUUAGAAAAUUCACUUUAACAAACCACCAUCAUAUAGUCACAUCAAUCUUUCACAGAUAUUUUUCCAACAAUUACCAGAAUUCUUAGAGCUUAUUACUGAUAUUUUGUUCUUAACCUUUGACAAUUGCCAUUUAGCAAUUGCAUGGUUUUACCUUUGUGGUUGUAGA